UACGGGGGGAGCAAGCGUUGUUCGGAUUUACUGGGCGUAAAGGGCGCGUAGGCGGCCUCUGCAAGUCGACUGUGAAAUCUCCGGGCUUAACCCGGAAAGGUCAGCCGAUACUGCAGGGCUAGAGUGCAGAAGGGGCAACUGGAAUUCUCGGUGUAGCGGUGAAAUGCGUAGAUAUCGAGAGGAACACCGGUGGCGAAGGCGGCAUCCUGGACCAACACUGACGCUGAGUGAGCGAAAGCCAGGGGAGCAAACGGG
rnacentral:rRNA from 1 species